GCGUCACUGUCGGAUCUGAUGUUGAUAUCCUGCUAGCAUGUUCCUAGAAAAGUCGGAAGCAAAAAAAUCGAAUGUUUCCGGCUUUUCAUACUUCUGUUGCGUACUAAAGGCUUGCAGUACAGUUUCUAGUAUAGGGAUCAACCUAUUGAUUAUCCAAAAAGAACAUGGUCUGGAAGAAGAAAGUUUACUCUAUCUGCUCAAGCUCAGUCAGGCCCGCCACCAUGGUGAAUGGAUUGCUUCUUCUUAUGUAAAAAACUGCAACAAGUGUGACUAGACAAUCAAAAUCAUAUCAAUAACAAAAGAAGAGGCAAUUUUUGUGAAACCAUGUUGAAUGAAGCCAAAUAUUCUGAUGCUGCUCUCAGCCUAAGAAAUGUUGAUACUCUGUGUUCCAGCUAGUAAGCCAUCUGUUCAUUUGAAAAACAAACAAGUAAACACGAUUGGCUGGAACAUUGAUAAUUUCUUCAAAUUAAAUUUUACACAAGGUAACAGCAAGAAGAAAUGUUGUUUCUCUACUACUUUUGGGGACUAACACUACAGCCAAUUGCACACCACAACUUCAGAAUACUAAGAAAUACUAAAAGCAAUGUUGUAUUUGACAUUAUUUCAGUGCAAUUAUAAGAAAACAGCUGGAUAUUG